UCCUCCGAGGAUGAACAAAAUGAACUUUCGUUCUUCUGAGCUGUUUCCAAUGCGGAAAAUUACUGGAGACCUGAACUGAGGAGGC
rfam:Vigna radiata var. radiata cultivar VC1973A chromosome 2, whole genome shotgun sequence